UGCAAGUCUAACGAUGUAGCCCAGCUUGCUGGGUGGAUGGCCGGGCGAACGGGUGAGUAACACGUGAGUAACCUGCCCUUAACUCUGGGAUAAGCCUGGGAAACUGGGUCUAAUACCGGAUAGGAGCGCCUACCGCAUGGUGGGUGUUGGAAAGAUUUAUCGGUUUUGGAUGGACUCGCGGCCUAUCAGCUUGUUGGUGAGGUAAUGGCUCACCAAGGCGACGACGGGUAGCCGGCCUGAGAGGGUGACCGGCCACACUGGGACUGAGACACGGCCCAGACUCCUACGGGAGGCAGCAGUGGGGAAUAUUGCACAAUGGGCGCAAGCCUGAUGCAGCGACGCCGCGUGAGGGAUGACGGCCUUCGGGUUGUAAACCUCUUUCAGUAGGGAAGAAGCGAAAGUGACGGUACCUGCAGAAGAAGCACCGGCUAACUACGUGCCAGCAGCCGCGGUAAUACGUAGGGUGCGAGCGUUAUCCGGAAUUAUUGGGCGUAAAGAGCUCGUAGGCGGUUUGUCGCGUCUGUCGUGAAAGUCCGGGGCUUAACCCCGGAUCUGCGGUGGGUACGGGCAGACUAGAGUGCAGUAGGGGAGACUGGAAUUCCUGGUGUAGCGGUGGAAUGCGCAGAUAUCAGGAGGAACACCGAUGGCGAAGGCAGGUCUCUGGGCUGUAACUGACGCUGAGGAGCGAAAGCAUGGGGAGCGAACAGGAUUAGAUACCCUGGUAGUCCAUGCCGUAAACGUUGGGCACUAGUGUGGGGACCAUUCCACGGUUUCCGCGCCGCAGCUAACGCAUUAGUGCCCCGCCUGGGGGAGUACGGCCGCAGGCUAAACUCAAGAUUGACGAGGUCCG
rnacentral:rRNA from 1 species